GAAAGCUUUAGCUUGCUAGAGCGAGUAAAGUGGCGCACGGGUGAGUAACGCGUGGGUAACCUGCCUUCGAAUUUGGGAUAACACCCCGAAAGGGGUGCUAAUACCGGAUAAUAUCUUUUGCAUUGCGGUGCAAAAGAUCAAAGACAGCCUCUUCUUGAAAGCUGUUGUUUGAAGAUGGGCCCGCGUACCAUUAGCUUGUUGGUGGGGUAAUGGCCUACCAAGGCGACGAUGGUUAGCUGGUCUGAGAGGAUGAUCAGCCACACUGGAACUGGAACACGGUCCAGACUCCUACGGGAGGCAGCAGUGAGGAAUUUUGCGCAAUGGGCGAAAGCCUGACGCAGCAACGCCGCGUGAGUGAUGAAGGAUUUCGGUUCGUAAAGCUCUGUCAAGUGGGAAGAAGUUAUCAUAUAUAAAUAGUGCAUGGUAUUGACGGUACCACUGAAGGAAGCACCGGCUAACUCCGUGCCAGCAGCCGCGGUAAUAC
rnacentral:rRNA from 1 species